AGACGGACUGGGUAGAAAAAGCU
rnacentral:siRNA from 1 species